rfam:Bombyx mori DNA, contig: Bm_scaf168_contig40829, strain: p50T/Dazao, build 2, whole genome shotgun sequence.
UUAACUCAAAAUUGUAUGAAGUUGGAACGUUUGCCUACGUUUGCCGCUAGGGGCGCUGUUCCAACUUCAUACAAAUUUGAGUUA